rnacentral:rRNA from 1 species
UUGGGUGGCGGACGGGUGAGUAACGCGUAAAGAACUUGCCUCACAGCUAGGGACAACAUUUGGAAACGAAUGCUAAUACCUAAUAUUAUGAUAAUAGGGCAUCCUAUAAUUAUGAAAGCUAUAAGCGCUGUGAGAGAGCUUUGCGUCCCAUUAGCUAGUUGGAGAGGUAACAGCUCACCAAGGCGAUGAUGGGUAGCCGGCCUGAGAGGGUGAUCGGCCACAAGGGGACUGAGACACGGCCCUUACUCCUACGGGAGGCAGCAGUGGGGAAUAUUGGACAAUGGACCAAGAGUCUGAUCCAGCAAUUCUGUGUGCACGAUGAAGUUUUUCGGAAUGUAAAGUGCUUUCAGUUGGGAAGAAAAAAAUGACGGUACCAACAGAAGAAGUGACGGCUAAAUACGUGCCAGCAGCCGCGGUAAUACGUAUGUCACGAGCGUUAUCCGGAUUUAUUGGGCGUAAAGCGCGUCUAGGUGGUUAUGUAAGUCUGAUGUGAAAAUGCAGGGCUCAACUCUGUAUUGCGUUGGAAACUGUAUAACUAGAGUACUGGAGAGGUAAGCGGAACUACAAGUGUAGAGGUGAAAUUCGUAGAUAUUUGUAGGAAUGCCGAUGGGGAAGCCAGCUUACUGGAC